UGGGGAAUAUUGGACAAUGGGCGAAAGCCUGAUCCAGCCAUGCCGCGUGUGUGAAGAAGGUCUUCGGAUUGUAAAGCACUUUAAGUUGGGAGGAAGGGCAUUAACCUAAUACGUUAGUGUUUUGACGUUACCGACAGAAUAAGCACCGGCUAACUCUGUGCCAGCACCCGCGGUAAUACAGAGGGUGCAAGCGUUAAUCGGAAUUACUGGGCGUAAAGCGCGCGUAGGUGGUUUGUUAAGUUGGAUGUGAAAUCCCCGGGCUCAACCUGGGAACUGCAUUCAAAACUGACUGACUAGAGUAUGGUAGAGGGUGGUGGAAUUUCCUGUGUAGCGGUGAAAUGCGUAGAUAUAGGAAGGAACACCAGUGGCGAAGGCGACCACCUGGACUAAUACUGACACUGAGGUGCGAAAGCGUGGGGAGCAAACA
rnacentral:rRNA from 1 species